CUUGGCGACCAUAGCACUUUGGACCCACCUGAUUUCCAUUCCGAACUCAGAAGUGAAACGAAGUAGCGUCGAUGGUAGUGUGGGGCUUCCCCAUGNCCCAGUUCGAUUCUGGGU
rnacentral:rRNA from 1 species